AUCGAACGCUGGCGGCGUGGCUAAAACAUGCAAGUCGAACGCGAAAGCCCCUUCGGGGGCAAGUAGAGUGGCGGAAGGGCGAGGAAUGCAUGGGCAACGUACCUUUGGCUCGGGGAUAGCUGCGGGAAACUGCAGGUAAUACCCGAUUAGACCACAGUGUCAUAAGGCACAGCGGUCAAAGGUGGGACAUCUUCGGAUGCCUACUGGCCAUUGAGCGGCCCAUGCCCUAUCAGCUAGUUGGUGAGGUAACGGCCCACCAAGGCGAUGACGGGUACCGGGACUGAGAGGUUGGUCCGGCGCAUUGGGACUGAGACACUGCCCAGACUCCUACGGGAGGCAG
rnacentral:rRNA from 1 species